UUCUCGCGCGUCGCCGCCUGCCUCCUUUCCUCCCCGCGACCCCGCACCACGUCUUCUCCCCGCCGCUGCCCGGCCGCCUCGCACCAGGCGCCCACUCGCCCCGCCGCUGCCCGGCCUCCUCCCCACCCGUGCCUCCCUCUCUCUCUCCUUCCAAACCCUAGAUCACCUCCCUGCCCCGUCCCCGUCGCCGAGGAGGAGCGCCUCCGGGGAGCAGCAGAAGGAGGAGGGGCACGCGACCGCGGCUACGAUGGGCGCGGCCCCGCCGUCCCGCCCUGCCCGCCGUGGCUACCUGCCCCGUCCCCGUCGCCGAGGCGGAGCUCGCGCUCGGGGAGGACGAGGAGACGGCCGCCUCCGGGGAGCAGCAGAAGGAGGAGGGGCGCGCGGCGGCGGCGACGAUGGGCGCGGCUCCGCCGUCCCGCCCUGCCCGCCGUGGCUGCCAUGGACGAGCUCGAGCUCGAUUGGGGAGCAAGGGGCCGCCCCGCCCGUCCCGCUCUCCAUGGCCAUGGCCAUGGCCGAUGACCGCGGCCCCGCCCGCCGCGGCGGCCAUGGACGAGCUCGAGCUCGAUGGGGGAGCAACGGGGAGAGGAACGUGAGGCUAUGGGGGAUCUGUGCUAGCCUGCUGCGUGGCUAAUACCAGCAUUGUGAAUUUCUUUCAUGAGGAAUUUCUUUCAGAUCGCAAUGGCUGACAAAGAGCUUCAGGUUCAUGGUUCACCAGGUUCUGCUGGCUCCACUAACAGUUGCCUGCAGGCACUUGCACAGGAGAGGCUCACACCGAGGGAGGGCUAAAUUGUGAGAUAUCCUUGUUUGGUCCGUCAAUAUACCUACAAGGCCUAAAUCAAGGUUGCAUGGUUUAUUGUUGAACUGAAUGCUUCAGUGAAACUUUGAUUUCAGGUGUUGCCCAUUGUCGUUGCGUCUGUCAAGCUAGCGCGUCACAUCUGCCUCUUCUCCUUCAUGAUGUUUGGCAGAGGUAGCACGGGGGUUGUGCCUAUGUGAGCCACGAUGGCGCUGCCCGCGCCCCUGCCUCAUUCGUGAGCAUCACCUCACCCCUGCCCAGUCCGUGAGGGAGACGCUUUGUGAAAGGAAGGAGAGCUCUGCCGCCAUGGGAGACGUCGGGAAUCGUUCGCUUGCCGGGUAUUGGCCACUUACCCAGUGGCUCCGGCUAAGCUGAGAUUACAUCAUUGGAGCACCGUUCUACAAAUGUGAUUAAUUUGGCAUGGGUAUGCGUACAGUCGGAAUGAGGCGCCAUGGGAAGGAUUCUGAUCUCUGAGAAGUGUGAUAAAUCAAUAAUGCCAAUCCGUUCAGUUUCAGCUUCAAAAACAUUGGGUGAUUGAAAAUGGCAUGCUAUAUUUCUGCAACAAGGCUCCCUAAAUAUUCCCUAUGUCCUAAACUGGAUUCUGACAAGGGUGUACACCCUGCUAUUUGGUCAGAAGUUUGGGAGUUCAUACUUGGUUGUUUGAUCUCGAGAACACCUUUGAUGACCACAAGCAAAUUGGGCAAACCAGAAGGUACUCGACUCAUUCUAUGCUUUUCUUGACUGCAAUUUCCAUCAAGUAAAUAUAUGAUGUCUUCACACUCCAUUAUAAUCAAUAAUUGCCUUACUGUAAAUGACUCAUUCAUUUUGAUCUUGAACUAUAGAUUAAAUCCUUUUGCUGCAUGUUAAGUUAUGUGUGAAAGGAUGAUUAAUAUGAGGCAUACAUUCUUUGUUUUAUGGAUAAUACAUUAACUGCUGCAUGUAUAUCAUCACAAGCAAAAAAUGUGUAUUUUUGAACAUUUUUCCUAAAAAAUAUAUUUUCUUAUGUUCUUGUGUAUUUAUGUAUGAUGAGUGUGGGAGGGCUUAUGGCUUUUAUGGUGACGAGUCACGAUUGUCGCUGAUCUCCACUGCCGGUACUUCUAGGACACGGAGAAUUUCCCUGAAGGUCAAGACCUCACAUCAAUGCUCCCAAGCCCCUGAUGAGCUUGUUCCUUUUUUUUUUAAGUUUCUCAAAUGUCACUUCUAUAGGUUUACUUGAGAUGUUAUGUUGCAUAUGUUGUGCUGAGGUUUUCCUACUUUCCUUUUGACUUCUCUGAAGUUGAUCAUCACAUGUUUAUGCAAUUGGACCAAAGCGACGACAUUAAGAAUC